rnacentral:rRNA from 1 species
GAUGAACGCUGGCGGUAUGCUUAACACAUGCAAGUCGAACGGACUCUUCGGAGUUAGUGGCGGACGGGUGAGUAACGCGUGAGAAUCUGGCUUUGGGUUCGGGACAACCACUGGAAACGGUGGCUAAUACCGGAUGUGCCGAGAGGUAAAAGAGAAAUUGCCUGAAGAUGAGCUCGCGUCUGAUUAGCUAGUUGGUGAGGUAAAGUCUCACCAAGGCAGCGAUCAGUAGCUGGUCUGAGAGGAGGACCAGCCACACUGGGACUGAGACACGGCCCAGACUCCUACGGGAGGCAGCAGUGGUGAAUUUUCCGCAAUGGGCGAAAGACUGACGAAGCAAUAACGCGUGAGGGAAGAAGGCUCUUGGGGUGUAAACCUAUUUUCUUAGGGAAGAACAAAAUGACGGUACCUAAGGAAUCAGCACCGGCUAACUCCGUG